AAUGAGUUUGAAAUUUGUUCAAUUUUGGGAAAUUAGUGAUUUUGAUCAAGUUUAGAUUUUGCUUUGGUGUGCUUACUGUUCAAUUUAUAUAAUGCUGGCAGACAAUCUCAGUUGAAGGACAAAAGAAAAACCUCCAGACUGACUACAUUUUGAAGUAAAUUUCUGUACUAAAUAUUGGUUUUCAUAUAGAUAUUUAUCUUUGAGGUUGGGUCCUGUCUCACAUUUAUGUACUGAUAGAAGCUUCGCCAGUGAAACGGAAGAUAUUGGUUCGAGUAAUUCUCAAGAGGGUGGAAAGUUCAAUGAUUAUUCACCAUCUAUAAGUAAGGAGUUCUGUUUCUUUCCUACUAAGACUGCUUAUGAUCCCUCUGAGUCCACUUCAAGCAUGUGGAAUUCAGAGGGUGAAGAUCGGAGUUUGGAGCCAACUUUAAAGAAGCGCAAAGCAACUUUUAGAAACAAUGAAGAGGAUGGGCAAUUUUUCUGCCAGCCACCUGGCCAGCCCAACAAGUUUCCUGGUCGAUUUACAGGGCCAGGUUUACUAAAUAUCCUUUCGUAAGCUUCAUGGCAGCCAUCUUUCUCAAAUGAUUGUAAACCAACACAACCUUCACAUACCUGAGAUGACUGUAACAGAAAUAAUCAAAUUUUCAGCCUGCUGUUAAUGUCUUGGAAGCAGAGCUGAUAUAAUGCUACAGGUCAGCAGGAGAGAAAAGAAAGAAGGAAUUGCUGCUGAUCCAAAUAUUGACACUAAAAUGAAGAUGGGUUCACAGUUCAAGGGUAAGAUACUAGAAGAUAACAUGGUUGGCAUUCUAAAGCAAUGGCACGGUGAUGUGAGGAGGAAAAGGAAGAAGGAAGAACAAGAAUCACAAUCUGCACACGUCUUCUUCCAUGGAAUGGAGCUCCAUGAGGCACAACAUAUGUAUAUGCAGAUUUCUUUACUUCUGGUAUGAAUCAAAUUAGUUAUAUAUAUUUGAAGCCUACUUAGUGUAACAACAACUUUGAAGAAUUGGUCAAAACAAUAGAGUACGGCAUUUUGGAUCUUUAUUCCCCUUUAAUGAGAUGGACUUUUGGUGUAUUGUAGAUUACUUGUAUUGUAUUUUGGAUGAUGUUGGCUAGGUUUAGAGUUGGAACUAUGGAUUGUAUUUUGGAUGAUGUUGAUGCAAUUAAUGAAACGUAGCCAU